AUUCCUCAGCCCCUUCUCACCACCUCAGCUGCUAUCUCUGGGACUAUGUCCAGAUCAGCUGAGUUUGUGUGGCCCAGCUCAGAAAUCUCUGCUAGGGACUCUUCUCCUAGAGGAGUGUGACAUUUGUAUCCCCAUUGGGUUCUCCUGAAACUACUGCCAUAGUUGCAACCCCGGUCAUCUUCCUAUGACCCUGUCUCAGCUUCAGCACUCCCUUGAUUCCCUCUUCCAAAACCCUGACCCUCAGUAAUCCCCAACUUCCCUUCCCUCUGUGUCCCAUCAAGUCCCUGAGCUUUUUCCCGCCAGCCACAGG
rnacentral:lncRNA from 1 species